GGUUAGACUGUGGUGAGCUGGGAGGGGAGCGGUCAUAGUUCAGGCCACAUGGGAUCCGCGGUCUGUACUAUGACUUUGUACUGGACCACUCCUUAUUCCUGGCAGUCUUACAAAGGCAUGCCAUUGGUCAUGAUGGAGGACCAGGCAGGAAAGGCCUACCCUCGGUGCAAGUCUUUCACAACUAUACUACUAAAAAUAACUCAAGUGCGUGUCCCCAGAACAGUAGUGUCAUUGCGUACCAAUCAAGUUGUAUAAUUCACAGUAAAAUUUCACCAUUCUUGGUCAGCAGAAUUUUAGAAUCCUUCUCUAAAUAUAAUGAAAAACUGGCAUAUUUGUAGGAGGAGGAAGACAGCUCUGUAGGAAUACACCAUUUAUUGAGUGGCACAUGAACAGAAUUUUGUGGAACACUGAAGCAAGAAAUUCACCUGGCUCAGAUCCAGUCAGGUGUUAGAAAACAGUCCCAUGCCUGGCGGUUACGGAGUGAUGGGUGACGAGGGCUCUAUCGAUUACAGCGUUCACGAGGCCUGGAAUGAAGCCACCAACGUGUACCUGGUAGUGAUCCUUGUCAGCUUUGGGCUCUUCAUGUAUGCCAAGAGAAAUAAAAGGAAAAUUAUGAGGAUAUUCAGUGUGCCACCUCCAACAGACACUCUGUCAGAGCCCAACUUUUAUGACACAAUAAGCAAAAUUCGUUUAAGACAGCAACUGGAAAUGUACUCCAUUUCCAGAAAGUAUGAUUAUCAGCAGCCACAGAGCCAAGCUGACAGUGUACAGCUCUCAUUGGAAUGAAAUCUCAGAAAAUGAGCAGCAGAAAUGAUCGUUGUUCAAGAGUGCAGUCUCCUCACGCUGCUAAAUCAUGGGCAGCAUUUUUUAAAACUUCUGUCUCCAUAAAAUCAUUUUAUUUGUGACUUUUCCCCAAUUUUUUGGUGUGUUUUGUUUCACUUUUUUUUUUUUUUGGCGGUACACGGGCCUCUCACUGUUGCGGCCUCUCCCGUUGCGGAGCGCAGCCUCCGGACGCGCAGGCUCAGCGGCCAUGGCUCACGGGCCCAGCCGCUCCGCGGCACGUGGGAUCUUCCCGGACCGGGGCACGAACCCGCGUCCCCCGCAUCGGCAGGCGGACUCCCAACCACUGCGCCACCAGGGAAGCCCUGUUUCACUUUUUUAAACCUCAUCUCCAAAUCAUUUGUUCCACAAAUUAGAAAUUCCUCAAAAGGCCUGAACACAGAGAGUCUGCACGUACCUAGGAAGACAGACUCUCACCAGCGACGGUGACUUUACCUUGUGAAGACUUUGAUCCCUUGAGGAUACAAUCAGGAAAUAAAAACACAUCUUUGGAAGAAAGAGUCUGGAGCUGAUGCCACUUUGGAACUUUUUUGCCAACUUAAAAAAAAAAAUCUAAUCAUUGGAAUAACUUCCUCUUCGACUGUGUUCUGGGAUAAAUAUAAUAGGGAUAACGGACUAACGUGUGUUCUUAUGGCUGGUGUUACCUCUAACCGAAUUAACCGUUUUUGCUCCUUCAGAAUUUGCACAGUAAACUGUCUUUUCUGCGUUGUGAAAUUGUGAUGCGCACCCCCUGCUAACUGUAGAAGUUUUCUGUGACGAGUUUGUUUCCCUCAAUUGUAUUCCCAGGAGUUUCUUCCACCAGAAGAGUCUUCUUUCGGCCAUGCUGGGGCUACGCUGCGGAAUACUUGGGCACCUCUGACUGGUGUCAGCGGCUUGCUUUUGGGUCAUGUGACCAUCAGUCUUUAAUGUAACUUAUGGUUUCAUAGGCUUUUUUAGCAUAAUAAGCUUCCCUGCAGACUCUCAUAUCUUGUACCAUUUUUGUACUGUACAUUGAAAUGUUUUCGCCCAGUUUUUCCUAUUUAUUUAAAUAAAAGCCGGUUGGAGAUAGUGGCAGGGAAGUUCAACUGUCCAUGUAACUGUCCAUAAAUUCGUUUUUGAAUCAAAACUAUAAUUUUAAGAGUUAGAGUUAAUAUUUCAAGCAUUAUUGCCUUUCCUUUAUAAUUAUGAAGUAAAGAAUAUAAAUCUUAAAUGAAAAGGUUUAGACCAAAUAAAAUCAUUUCAGGGAAAUGGCAUUUACUUUUAAAAUUUAAAUGUUUCAAGUAUAUAUAUAUUGUACAAGGUGAAUUGUUGGCCAAAUGGAAUAAUUCUUUCUUAACUCACAGAUGAGUUUGAACGCACCGCCUGUAUGUAGAAUGAAUACUCGGACUGAAGGAUUGUAAACAGUUACAGUUAUGACCUGGGGAUAGCAGAGCAGCAAGGGGACGAUCUUCUUAAACUUCGCUUUGCUGUCAUGUAAUCAGGAGCGGGAGCGGUUUACCUGCUGUCCCUGAUGGGUGGCACAAACCUGGACAAAUUACGAAAACUGGCUGUCUCAGCUGAUUUGUACAGUGUACCUAAAUAAAUAGCAAUCACAACGAAAUGGACUGCGAUGGUUUCUUAUUUGCAUCCACUAGACAGGGACAGUCACGACUAAAACCUCACAGAUCAUUUGGUGAGAGUGGAACUCUGGCACGUGAGAGAGGAAGAUUCCUCCUCCUUUCUUCUCUAAAGCCCUCUGAUGGGAGUCACGCCUCCGCCAGCAGGAUCAACAGCAAGUCUGCCUUUGAAGUUUCUUCUCUGCUUCCACAGCUGAGCUGGGAAAGCGGGGGAUGCCCUGCAGCCACACUUCAAAGGGACACCAGUUGAUUGUCCUGCUUCUGCCCCUGAAUCCACCAAGGGUUCGAUGGAACUAUUUUCUUUGGAAGAAAAAAGGCAUGACUAAUAAACAGAUGAUGAGUUCCGAACAAAACAUAAAAACAACUGUCUGAAGGAAACCAUAAGCAGACAAACCAGGAAGAAGAUGACG